GACGAACGCUGGCGGCGUGCCUAAUACAUGCAAGUAGAACGCUGAAGGAGGAGCUUGCUUCUCUGGAUGAGUUGCGAACGGGUGAGUAACGCGUAGGUAACCUGCCUGGUAGCGGGGGAUAACUAUUGGAAACGAUAGCUAAUACCGCAUAAUAUUGACUAUUGCAUGAUAGUCAGUUGAAAGGUGCAACUGCACCACUACCAGAUGGACCUGCGUUGUAUUAGCUAGUUGGUGGGGUAACGGCUCACCAAGGCGACGAUACAUAGCCGACCUGAGAGGGUGAUCGGCCACACUGGGACUGAGACACGGCCCAGACUCCUACGGAGGCAGCAGGAGGGAAUCUUCGGCAAUGGACGGAAGUCUGACCGAGCAACGCCGCGUGAGUGAAGAAGGUUUUCGGAUCGUAAAGCUCUGUUGUAAGAGAAGAACGAGUGUGAGAGUGGAAAGCUCACACUGUGACGGUAUCUUACCAGAAAGGGACGGCUAACUACGUG
rnacentral:rRNA from 1 species